GAUUAGAGCUAAACUGGACUAAUUAGAGCUAAACUGAACUGAACCCUUAUAUAAACAAAGCUACUAAGGAGUAUCUAUUGCAAAGUCCAUAAUAUGACAUGAAUUCCAAUAAGCUUAAAUAAUGAAAUUCUAAGUAAAAUGAUCAUUACAUAGAUUUUGCAGUUUUCGAGUAUUCAACCUUUCACGUAGCCAUUAUUCAAUUGGGUUACACCUUGUAUAUUAUGAGUAGGCUAAAGACUCCUGAACAAUUGAACAUGUUUUAAUCAUCAUUCAUGCAAUCAAAAUAUAAAUGAAAUUUUUGCACAAAUUUGCUCCCAAAAUUCUUCAACAUGGAUUACUUUGACGCACUAUUAUCAUCAAAUUCCAAAGACCCACGAACAAUCCACGCCCACAUUAUCAAAACAUCAAACAGACAACAUUCCCUCUCUUUCCUCAACAGGUUGAUCACUUUCUACUCAAAAUCCCACCAUUUUUCUCAAGCUUUUGCAGUUUUCCGGCAAAUCCCAUCUCCCAACGUCGUCUCAUGGACUUCCCUCAUCUCCGGCAACCCCAAUUCUCCGCUUUCUCUGCGCCAUUUCAUCGCCAUGCUCCGCCACCCAACUCGCCCCAAUCAGCGAACUUUAGCCUCCAUUAUCAAGACUUGUGCUACUCUUUCUCUGUUACCCUUUGGAAUCCAGGUUCAUUCUCUCUCCCUUAAGCUUUCUCUGUCAUCUCAGCCCUUUUGCGCUUCUGCCCUUGUUCAUUUUUACUCGAAAUUGCGGCUUCCUGAUUAUGCGUAUAAGGUGUUCGAUGAAAUGCCUGAGAGAGAUGGGGUUUGUUAUUCGUCUAUGGUUGUUGGGUUUUCUCAGAAUUCUCGUCCUGUUGAGGCUUUGGGUCUUUUUGCUGAGAUGGUGUCUCGGAAUGUGAGUUCUACGGUUUAUAGUGUUUCUGGGGCGCUAGGUGCUGGUGCUGAGCUUGCUACUUUGGAGCAAUGUAGAGUUAUUCAUGGUCACGGAAUUGUUACAGGGCUUAUUAAAGCUAUUUAUGUUAGUACUGGAUUGGUUACUGCAUAUGGGAAGUGUGGUAUGGUAAUGGAAGCUAGGAGGGUGUUUGAUGAGUUCUUGCCUGAUAUGAAUAUUGUGGGAUGGAAUGCCAUGAUGGCCUCUUAUGCUCAACAGGGUGAUCAAUCUUCAGUUCUUGAACUUUUUGGUUUAUUUGAAUCGCGAGGACUUGCACCUGAUGACUUCAGUUUCUUGGCUGUGUUAACAUCGUUAUAUAAUGCGGGUUUGGCUGAUGAGACGGAGUAUUGGAUUAAUCAGAUGAAAGUAAAGUAUGGUUUAAAGCCUUCAUUGGAGCACUAUACUUGUUUAGUGGGUGCAUUGGGUAGAGUUGGGAGAUUGGAUGAUGCUGAGCGGAUUGCUAUGACCAUGCCAAUUAAGCCGGAUGCUGGUGUGUGGCGGGUUUUACUGGCAGCAAGUGCGGCACAUGGUGAUGCUGAUGUUGCUUGGAGGAUGAGUAAGCGGCUAUUGGAACUUGACCCUAAUGAUGACUCUGCGUAUGUGAUAGCUGCAAAUACAUUCUCUGCAUCAGGGAGGUGGAAUGAGGCUGCAAAUGUUAGGAAGAUGAUGAAUAAUGUGAAUGUGAAGAAGGAAGGUGGGAGAAGUUGGAUGGAGGUGCGAGGAAAAGUGCACAUGUUUUUAGCAGGAGACAGCGAGCAUGAACGGAUAAAAGAGGUUUAUGCAAAGCUUGCAGAACUCAUGAAAGAGAUUGAAAAACUCGGUUAUGUGCCAAAUUGGAGCGAGAUGUUACAUGAUGUUGAGGAAGGGGAGAAAAGAGAAGGGCUUUCAUAUCACAGUGAGAAGCUGGCGUUGGCAUAUGGGGUGUUAAGUGGGGUAGCACCUCCUGGGAAACCUUUGAGGAUUCUGAAGAAUCUUAGAAUUUGCAGGGAUUGCCAUGAAGCCUUCAAGUAUUUCAGUAGGCUGUUGGAAAGGGAAAUUAUUGUGCGCGAUGUCAACAGAUACCAUAGAUUUAUUGACGGAAGCUGUACUUGCCGAGAUUAUUGGUAACCCGUGUAAAGUGUUACCACAUUACCAGCUAUGGCAACUAGCAAAUUGCAUUGUUUUCAGUCAGCUGAACUAUGGUACAAUUUUCCUCCCUAUUUGAGGGACUGGCAAAGAGUGUUUCAUCCAAGGGCAGGAACACUAAGAAUGAUAAGGGAAGGAGAGCUGCCGAGUCAUUGGAAGAUGAAGCAAGGAGG